rnacentral:rRNA from 1 species
AAUCAACGCUGGCGGCGUGCCUAACACAUGCAAGUCGCACGAGAAAGGGACUUCGGUCCUGAGUAAAGUGGCGCACGGGUGAGUAACACGUGAAUCAUCUACCUCCGAGUGGGAUAACCUAGAGAAUCUGGGCUAAUACCGCAUAACACUUACGAGUCAAGCAGCAAUGCGCUUGGAGAGGAGUUCGCGGCCGAUUAGCUAGUUGGC